rnacentral:rRNA from 1 species
CCUACGGGGGGCAGCAGUGGGGAAUAUUGGGCAAUGGGCGAAAGCCUGACCCAGCAACGCCGCGUGAAGGAAGAAGGCUUUCGGGUUGUAAACUUCUUUUUACAGGGAAGAGCAGAAGACGGUACCUGUCGAAUAAGCCUCGGCUAACUCCGUGCCAGCAGCCGCGGUAAUACGGAGGAUGCGGGCGUUAUCCGGAUUUAUGGGUUUUAAAGGGUGCGUAGGCGGAUUUUUAAGUCAGCGGUAAAAUGUCCGGGCUAAACCCGAGCCGGCCGUUGAAACUGGGGAUCUUGAGUGGGCGAGAAGUAUGCGGAAUGCGUGGUGUAGCGGUGAAAUGCAUAGAUAUCACGCAGAACUCCGAUUGCGAAGGCAGCAUACCGGCGCCCGACUGACGCUGAGGCACGAAAGUGUGGGGAUCGAACAGGAUUAGAUACCCGUGUAGUC